CCUACGGGAGGCAGCAGUGAGGAAUAUUGGUCAAUGGGCGUAAGCCUGAACCAGCCAAGUCGCGUGAGGGACGACGGCCCUCCGGGUUGUACACCUCUUUUGCCGGGGGGCAAACGGCGGCACGCGUGCCGUCCUGCGGGUACCCGGAGAAAAAGCAUCGGCUACCUCCGUGCCAGCGGCCGCGGUAAUACGGAGGAUGCGAGCGUUAUCCGGAUUUAGUGGGGUUAAGGGGUGCGUCGGCGGGCUGCCAAGUCAGCGGUAACAUACGGGGGCUCAACCUGCUUCCGCCGUUGAAACUGGCGGUCUUGAGUGGGCGAGAAGUACGCGGAAUGCGUGGUGGAGCGGUGAAAUGCAUAGAUAUCACGCAGAACCUCGAUUGCGAAGGCAGCGUACCGGCGCCCGACUGACGCUGAAGCACGAAAGCGUGGGUAUCGAACAGGAUUAGAUACCCCAGUAGUC
rnacentral:rRNA from 1 species